UCCGUAGGUGGAUAAUUAAGUCAGAGGUGAAAUCCUGCAGCUCAACUGUAGAAUUGCCUUUGAUACUGGUUAUCUUGAGUCAUUAUGAAGUGGUUAGAAUGUGUGGUGUAGCGGUGAAAUGCAUAGAUAUUACACAGAAUACCGAUUGCGAAGGCAGAUCACUAAUAAUGUACUGACACUGAUGGACGAAAGCGUGGGGAGCGAACAGGAUUAGAUACCCCUGGUAGUCC
rnacentral:rRNA from 1 species